GAUGAACGCUGGCGGCGUGCCUAAUACAUGCAAGUCGAGCGAACGGAUAAGGAGCUUGCUCCUUUGAAGUUAGCGGCGGACGGGUGAGUAACACGUGGGUAACCUACCUAUAAGACUGGAAUAACUUCGGGAAACCGGAGCUAAUGCCGGAUAACAUUUGGAACUGCAUGGUUCCAAAGUAAAAGAUGGUUUUGCUAUCACUUAUAGAUGGACCCGCGCCGUAUUAGCUAGUUGGUAAGGUAACGGCUUACCAAGGCAACGAUACGUAGCCGACCUGAGAGGGUGAUCGGCCACACUGGAACUGAGACACGGUCCAGACUCCUACGGGAGGCAGCAGUAGGGAAUCUUCCGCAGUGGACGAAAGUCUGACGGAGCAACGCCGCGUGAGUGAUGAAGGUUUUCGGAUCGUAAAACUCUGUUAUUAGGGAAGAACAAAUGUGUAAGUAACUGUGCACAUCUUGACGGUACCUAAUCAGAAAGCCACGGCUAACUACGUGCCAGCAGCCGCAGUAA
rnacentral:rRNA from 1 species